GUCCCACCAGAGUCGCCA
rnacentral:ncRNA from 3 species